rnacentral:rRNA from 1 species
UACGGAGGGGGCUAGCGUUGUUCGGAAUUACUGGGCGUAAAGCGCACGUAGGCGGCUUUGUAAGUUAGAGGUGAAAGCCCGGGGCUCAACUCCGGAAUUGCCUUUAAGACUGCAUCGCUAGAAUUGUGGAGAGGUAAGUGGAAUUCCGAGUGUAGAGGUGAAAUUCGUAGAUAUUCGGAAGAACACCAGUGGCGAAGGCGACUUACUGGACACAUAUUGACGCUGAGGUGCGAAAGCGUGGGGAUCAAACAGG